rnacentral:rRNA from 1 species
AUGAGUCCCACGUCGCCUCGGCAGCCCGGCUUCGGCGCCGGCGGGCAGCGCCAGCAAGCCGCCGCCUCCGCCGGCACCACUCCGUUCAAGAUCCACAGGGACUCCCACCUCAUACACAAGGGCGCCGCGGCCGGCGCAUCCGCGUCCUCGCCGCCCUCCUCCUCGUCCACCAACUCCUCCGUCUCCUCCUCCCCCGGCGUCGGCCAGCAGCGGCCGGCGCCGAGGCUGAAGCAGCAGCAGCAGCAGCAGCCUGUCAUCAUCUACACGCACUCCCCCAAGGUGAUCCGCACCAGCCCGCGCGACUUCAUGUCCAUCGUGCAGAAGCUCACCGGCCUCGAGAGCGCCGCCGCGUCAGCCGUCACCGGCGCCGCGCAGGACGAGUCUUCGUCCUCGUCGACGGAGAGCUGCGCCAAUGCCCACGCCAGUGCCGUGCCGCCGCCGCCGCCUCCGCCCCAGUACAUGGAUCCACCUCAGCUGAUGCCGCCGCCGGCGCAGCUGGAUCACGCGCACUUCAUGCCGGACAUGCCGCUGUUCGCGCCCUCGGAGCAUCAGCAGCACAUGCUCUGCGCCUCCAGGGGCGGCCUCUACGGCCACUUCCCGCCCACGGUGGAGGCCGUGUCGCUCGGCGGCCCGGCGAACAUGCACGACGGCGCCGCCUCUGUGGGGGUGUUCUCCCCGUCCACGGUGGAGGCGAUGAGAACGGCGUAUCCGGAUUACCAGUUAACUUAA